ACGCGCGCUACACUGAUGUAU
rnacentral:siRNA from 1 species